UUGGAGGGCAAGUCUGGUGCCAGCAGCCGCGGUAAUUCCAGCUCCAAUAGCGUAUAUUAAAGUUGUUGCAGUUAAAAAGCUCGUAGUUGAACCUCGGGAUCAAUGGAUCGGUCAUGCCAUCGGUAUGUACUGGUCUCAUUGGUUCUCACCUUCUAAGGAACCAUGAUGUCAUUAAUUUGAUGUUGUGGGGAAUUAGGACUGUUACCUUGAAAAAAUUAGAGUGUUUAAAGCAGGCUAACGCUUGAAUACAUUAGCAUGGAAUAAUGAAAUAGGACAUCGCAUUCUAUUUUGUUGGUUUCUAGGAUCGAUGUAAUGAUUAAUAGGGAUAGUUGGGGGCAUUAGUAUUCAAUUGUCAGAGGUGAAAUUCUUGGAUUUAUUGAAGACUAACUACUGCGAAAGCAUUUGCCAAGGAUGUUUUCAUUAACCAAGAACGAAAGUUAGGGGAUCGAAGACGAUCAGAUACCGUCGUAGUCUUAACCAUAAACUAUGCCGACUAGGGAUCGGAUGAUGUUGAUUUUUUAAUGACUCAUUCGGCGCCUUACGGGAAAC
rnacentral:rRNA from 1 species